rnacentral:rRNA from 1 species
CACCGUAUUGCCCAGUAACGGCGAGUGAAGCGGCAACAGCUCAAAUUUGAAAUCUGGCUUCGGCCCGAGUUGUAAUUUGCAGAGGAAGCUUUAGGCGCGGCACCAUCUGAGUCCCCUGGAACGGGGCGCCACAGAGGGUGAGAGCCCCGUAUAGAUGGACGCCUAGCCUGUGUAAAGCUCCUUCGACGAGUCGAGUAGUUUGGGAAUGCUGCUCUAAAUGGGAGGUAAAUUUCUUCUAAAGCUAAAUACCGGCCAGAGACCGAUAGCGCACAAGUAGAGUGAUCGAAAGAUGAAAAGCACUUUGAAAAGAGGGUUAAAUAGCACGUGAAAUUGUUGAAAGGGAAGCGCUUGUGACCAGACUUGCGCCGGGCGGAUCAUCCGGUGUUCUCACCGGUGCACUCCGCCCGGCUCAGGCCAGCAUCGGUUCUCGUGGGGGGACAAAGGUCCCGGGAACGUAGCUCCUCCGGGAGUGUUAUAGCCCGGGGCGUAAUGCCCUCGCGGGGACCGAGGACCGCGCUUCGGCAAGGAUGCUGGCGUAAUGGU